GCCCGGGGCGCCGCGCGCCACCCCUCGCGCCCCGCCCCCGCCGCGCCCCUGACCAUAGAGGCGGGCCUCCGGGAAGGGCUCAGCUUUAUCUUGGCAAAAUGGAGGGCCGCUCCCUCCACCAAAGAGGGACAGAUAGACACCAAGCAUCACAGCCCAAGUCUCACGUACUUGAACAGAGAAAAGACUGACUGAAACCUCCAGCAAGUCCUUUGUGCUGGAAAGUCAAUUCCUUUCUGUUCUUUCUGAUGGGCAGGAAAAGCACUAUCCACUGCAAUCGACAACCAGUCUGGUCUGUCCUGCCAAGAUCUGAGACUGAUAAAGCCUCUGUAGCACCACAAACCAGAGCUUGCUCUCACUCUCACGAUUGCACCAAGAGCUUUAAGGAAAUGGCAAAUUGAAUUCCUUGCCUCAGAGGGAAUUUAUUUCCCCUUUAGCCCAGUGAAAUAAUCUGUGCCAGACAUUACUUUUGGCCUUUAGACUCAUAAAAGCCUGUCUGAAGGCUACUACGGCUUCCUUUGUCUGCGUCUCUAAAGCACAGAAAACAGCAAUAACUGUCCAGCAUUUAAGAGAAAACAAGCUUUUCUCCAUAUGGGUUUGUAAGGGCUUUCAGUCCUGGAUUUUUCUAACUCUACUCCAUCGCUUUGUAAUCCACUGCAAGACAAACCAUACUCCGCAAUGAACUCACCAAGGUCUUUGCCACCACCCCCUGUCAGUUGAUAAAUUCUGUUCACCUUUCAACUGGAGAUUUUUAAUUAAUUUAAUACAAAAGCGAAUUGCACUGCUUUAGGGGCAGUCCCUGGAAAGAUGCAUUUUGAUCUUGAUCUUCUUUUGUAUGCUGGCCUCACAUUUCCUGAUUUGGGGGAUAGCAAAUGCUCUCCUUUGCACAGCACGUAAUUGCUUUACAAAAGAUGUAAGGCUGAAGCCUGGAAGCAUAAGCAGAUGGGCAUGGGACAGGUAAGCCGUCAGUGGCCAAGGAGGAGGAGGAAGUUGUACGUUGUGGGAUAGACACACAGAUGUAAUAUUUUGCCUCUGGAAGGAUUAGCAGUGAAACAGUUAACAGACAUUUUUGUGUUUCAUAAUAUGCAAUAUUUCACUGUGAUAAUGAACUACCAGCCACGUUUGCAGCAGUCACCGUCUUGUUUUAGAGAUAACACUGCUUAGUCUGGGGAGACGUUAUCUCUGUUUUGGGGGUGGAGGUGAGAGGAACUUUUAUGCUAGUUCUGAGAAGUGCCUCCCACUUUGAAUUACACCUUAAAUAGUACACCGAAGGCCCUUUGCAGCUUGCCCAGAUCCCUUAGCGUGCUCAUCGCAAAACAGAAUGGGAAACUGACGGCAGGGUGUUCAUCAGUUGGAAAUAUAACUUCCUCAUUCAUUGAAACCAACAACGGACUUAGUGAGAAACAGAGACACGGGGAGUCGUGUCAGAACCAUCUCCUCACCCUUAGCAGGGGGUAUGUCAUUGCCACAGACUUGCAGGGCUUCAUUCCUGAGAGCUACCUGUGCCUUCUCACACUCGCGACAGGCGGCUGGGAGCAGCGCUCCCGGCAUCUCCAACGCUCUCCUCCUACUCCCACAUUCCUGCUUUUAUUUUUAUUUUUUUUAAUUACUCACUACAUGAGCUAGUUGAUACCGCGAGGCCAGGUUGGCUUUCAGAGGCCAGCUCUUCCUUUUCAUCCUCUGAUUUCUCACAGACAGCUAGACCUGGAAGUGUUUCCUCUGACCAGCACAAUGCUUCUAGCAGGAGGCUAACAAAAAUGCCCCUAGAGAACAAACGAGACCACCUGAUGAAGCCUUGGUGGACCUACACUCCCUCUGCCAUGGCAAGGGCCUGGAGAAAGCAAUGUGUGGGUGCCUAUUGCUGGUUGUCCUUGAACACCAACGCCAGCUUGAUAAGCACCAGCCAUUCACCUAAAAGAGAAGAGUGACUACAAAAUACAGACGCUAUUUACUGUUUAAAAUGAGGUACUGUAAUGGCAAACCAGCCUCACAAUUUGGAAACAUUUUUACCAGUAAAGAACACUCCUUCAGAUCAAAAAUCCAGGGCCAAUGUCUCUGCAUGGCCUGGCUGCCUCUCACAGGUCUAUUACAAAAAACAAAACCCAUCUGACUGCUUGUUCCAUCAUUCCACACUUCAGAGAGCUGAAAACCUUGUAUUUCCUCAUGAGGAACAGCCUCCAGAGGUCAUCUCCAGACCACAGCGAGCUGACCAAGCCCUGCCUGUAUGGCCUGGAGAGCUCAGGCAGCCCUUGGAUGCUACGAAACCUCUUCCUCUGCCUGCAACUUACAAGUAAAAGCACUCAGCAUAAAUAAGCACAAGGAGGCAUCUAAAGUGGGCAGGGACCGCUAAAGGAAAGAUUUAUUUGUUUCUACAGCAAAGAGUCUGUAAUAUUUCUACUCUUCCUCACUGAGUUCAGUAAAACCUAUGCCUCAGCAGGGUUUCC
ensembl:lncRNA